rnacentral:lncRNA from 1 species
UGUUGAAUGAAUGGCAGAUGCCGUGCUAAGGAAAUGACACACACUCAUUCAUUUCACCCUUAAAAGAGCCCUCUGGGAGAGGUGCAGUUACAGCUCCAUUUUAUUUUAUUUAUUUAUUUUUUUGAGACGGAGUUUUGCUCUUCUUUCCUGGUUGGUGCCGAGCCUGGAGACAAAGGCCAGGCCAACUCUGGUAUGGAAGCGUCAAGGGGCUAAGAGACCUUGCCUUGCUCUGCUCUGACCCAGCGCAGACCCGCCACGCUGCUCUCUGGCAUCGGGGAGGCAGAGCUCUGCAGUGGUAACA